GCACAGCUCUGGGGGGCAGUGCCCAGGUGUGGUUAAUCCUGCUGAUGAGAAGUCAGGAGGCUGCAGGUGGGCUCAGCCCUCAGUGCUGGGC
ensembl:miRNA